ACCAACUACUGUGCCACGUUGAGUACGCCAUGUCUCGUUACAUCACUGAUGUUAAGCAACAUUGGGCGUGGUCAGUACUUGAAUGGGUGACUGCCUGUAAGAUCCUGUUUUGUUGGUU
rnacentral:rRNA from 1 species